AUGGCGGCGGUGGCCACUGUGAGCUCGGCCGGCGGGAUCCUCGCCAUGCUCCACGAGCCGGCGGAGGAGCUCAAGCUGCACGCGCUCGCCAGCCUCAACUCCGUCGUCCACCUCUUCUACCCCGAGAUCUCCACCAGCAUCCCCACCAUUGAGAGCUUGUAUGAAGAUGAGGAGUUUGACCAGAGACAGCUAGCUGCACUAGUUGUUUCUAAGGUAUUUUAUUACUUGGGCGAGUUAAAUGAUGCACUGUUGUAUGCACUUGGUGCUGGGCCUCUGUUUGAUGUUUCUGAGGAUUCAGAUUAUGCUCAUGCUCUUCUAGCCAAAGCAUUAGAUGAAUAUGCGAGUUUCAAGACAAGAGCUUCUAAAGCUACCGAGGAAGAAGGAAAUGUGGAUCCUAGAUUAGAGGCCAUAGUGGAGAGGAUGUUGGAGAAGUGUGUUCUUGAUGGGAAAUACCAACAGGCCAUGGGUAUGGCUGUUGAAUGCAGGAGACUGGAUAAACUGGAGGAAGCAAUUGUUCGGUGUGAUAAUAUUCACGGGGCUCUUUCAUAUUGCAUCAACCUUUCUCAUCAAUAUGUUAGUCACCGUGAAUAUCGCUGUGAGACUUUGCCGCAUCCAGAUUUUCUGAGCAUCUGCCAGUGCCUUAUGUUUCUGGGUGAGCCUGAAACUGUUGCGAAUAUAUUGGACACACUAAUUUCUGGAAGCAAGGAUGAUGCUCUCCUUGCGUACCAAAUUGCUUUUGAUCUGGUGGAAAAUGAAAAUCAGGCCUUCCUUCUGAACGUGAGGAAUCGCCUGGACUCACAGACUCCUGGUCAGUCCAACCCUGAUAGUGGUUCAGCUUUGCCAGUCGAUCAGACUGUUAACGUGGGUACAACUAGCACAGAACCAGCGGGUGAUGUUCAGAUGGGAAAUGACACUACUACGGCAAAUGGAAAUGCUCACCCAGUGGAUCCAAAUGAGGCAGCGCAUGCUGAUAAGCUUGCAAAACUUAAAGGGAUACUGUCAGGGGAGAAGUCUAUUCAACUUACGCUGCAAUUUUUGUAUAGCCACAACAGGUCCGAUCUUCUGAUUCUGAAGACAAUAAAGCAGGCUGUGGAAAUGAGGAACAGUGUUUGCCACAGUGCAACUAUUUGUUCCAAUGCGAUCAUGCAUGCAGGAACAACUGUAGAUACCUUUCUAAGAGAGAAUCUGGAGUGGUUAAGCAGGGCAACUAAUUGGGCUAAAUUCAGUGCAACAGCUGGGCUAGGUGUGAUUCAUAGAGGCCACCUUCAGCAAGGUCGGGCUUUGAUGGCCCCAUACCUACCUCAAAGUGGUGCAGUUGGUGGUGGCAGUCCAUACUCGGAAGGUGGUGCCCUGUAUGCUUUAGGUUUGAUUCAUGCCAACCAUGGUGAAGGAAUCAAACAAUUCCUCCGUGAAAGCCUUCGCAACACCAGUGCAGAGGUCAUCCAGCAUGGUGCUUGUUUGGGACUUGGGCUUGCAUCUCUGGGGACAGCAGAUGAAGAAGUGUUUGAGGACAUAAAGAAUGUCCUUUACACAGACAGUGCUGUGGCUGGUGAAGCAGCUGGUAUUGGCAUGGGUUUGCUCAUGGUAGGGACAGCCAGUGAGAAGGCCGCUGAGAUGCUCGCUUAUGCACAUGAUACACAGCAUGAAAAGAUUAUCAGGGGUUUGGCACUUGGCAUCGCAUUGACGGUGUAUGGCAGGGAAGAGGAAGCUGACACCUUGAUCGAACAAAUGACUAGAGAUCAAGAUCCCAUACUACGUUAUGGUGGUAUGUAUGCAUUGGCUCUAGCCUACAGAGGAACUGCGAAUAACAAAGCUAUCCAUCAGCUGCUGCAUUUUGCUGUAUCGGACGUCAGUGAUGAUGUUCGUAGGACUGCAGUUAUGGGUCUUGGAUUUGUUCUAUACAACGAACCUGAGCAGACUCCAAGAAUUGUGUCCCUGCUCUCUGAAUCAUACAACCCGCAUGUUCGUUAUGGUGCAGCUUUAGCUGUUGGGAUAUCAUGUGCAGGAACAGGGUUAAGUGAUGCCAUUUCCUUGUUGGAGCCUCUCACGUCGGACGUUGUUGACUUUGUACGCCAGGGGGCUCUAAUUGCCAUGGCAAUGGUCAUGAUCCAGACGAAUGAAUCCUUUGAUUCCCGUGUUGGAACAUUCAGGCGUCAGUUGGAGAAGAUCAUCCUUGACAAGCAUGAGGACACCAUGAGCAAAAUGGGUGCCAUACUUGCUUCUGGUAUUCUGGAUGCUGGUGGUAGGAAUGUCACAAUUAAACUUCUCUCGAGGAACAAGCAUGACAAGCUCACUGCUGUGAUUGGCCUUGCUGUUUUCACCCAGUUCUGGUACUGGUACCCACUCCUAUACUUUAUCAGCUUGGCCUUCUCGCCAACAGCCAUCAUUGGUCUCAACUCGAACCUGGAAGUGCCUAAGUUCGAAUUCCUGUCACAUGCUAAACCGUCCCUCUUUGAGUAUCCGAAGCCGACCACUCAGCAGACUACGACUUCAGCAGUCAAGCUGCCCACAGCCAUUUUGUCAACCUAUGCCAAGGCAAAAUCUAGGGCGAAGAAGGAUGCAGAAAGCAAAGCUGCUAACCAGGAGAAGACAGCAGAAGCAGAAAGCAAAGCUAACCAGGAGAAGUCAACAGCAGAAAGCAAACCUAGCCAGGAGAAAUCAGCGGACACAGAAAGCAAAGCUAAGACAACGGAAGAUGCUUCUGGUUCUACUUCAGGCGAGGCAGCUAAGACACAGGAGAAGGACGGUGAUGCAAUGCAGGUUGACGGCGCGGCAGAGAAGAAGGCCCCGGAGCCAGAACCUGCCUUCCAGAUCCUGGCGAACCCAGCCCGCGUCGUACCCGCCCAGGAGAAGUUCAUCAAGUUCAUCGAGGGCAGCCGAUACGUCCCCGUGAGGCCCGCCCCCUGUGGGUUCAUCCUCCUCCGAGACACGCAGCCCAGCGAAGCGGAGGAGCUCGUGCUCACCGACGCCCCCGCAACCGUGGCCACGGGCACCGGCAACAACGCAGCAGCCGCUGCCGCGGGGCAAGGCUCGGCCGCCAUGGCCGUCGACGACGAGCCACAGCCGCCCCAACCUUUCGAGUACUCGGCCUAG
rnacentral:rRNA from 1 species